rnacentral:rRNA from 1 species
CACCUGAGUUUGAUCCCUGGCUCAGGACGAACGCUGGCGGCGUGCCUAAUACAUGCAAGUCGAGCGAACAGAAGGGAGCUUGCUCCCGGAUGUUAGCGGCGGACGGGUGAGUAACACGUGGGUAACCUGCCUGUAAGACUGGGAUAACUUCCGGGAAACCGGAGCUAAUACCGGAUAGUUCCUUGAACCGCAUGGUUCAAGGAUGAAAGACGGUUUCGGCUGUCACUUACAGAUGGACCCGCGGCGCAUUAGCUAGUUGGUGGGGUAAUGGCUCACCAAGGCGACGAUGCGUAGCCGACCUGAGAGGGUGAUCGGCCACACUGGGACUGAGACACGGCCCAGACUCCUACGGGAGGCAGCAGUAGGGAAUCUUCCGCAAUGGACGAAAGUCUGACGGAGCAACGCCGCGUGAGUGAUGAAGGUUUUCGGAUCGUAAAGCUCUGUUGUUAGGGAAGAACAAGUGCGAGAGAACUGCUCGCACCUUACGGACCAACAAAG